rnacentral:ribozyme from 1 species
AAAAAGGGGAAAUAAAAAAAAAAAAAAAAAAAAACAGCUACAUAUUGUUUUUUUUUUUUCUCUUUUUAUUUUUGUUUUUGUUUUUUUUUUCGCU